UUGAACGCUGGCGGCAGGCCUAACACAUGCAAGUCGAGCGGGGGAAGGUAGCUUGCUACCGGACCUAGCGGCGGACGGGUGAGUAAUGCUUAGGAAUCUGCCUAUUAGUGGGGGACAACAUCUCGAAAGGGAUGCUAAUACCGCAUACGUCCUACGGGAGAAAGCAGGGGAUCUUCGGACCUUGCGCUAAUAGAUGAGCCUAAGUCGGAUUAGCUAGUUGGUGGGGUAAAGGCCUACCAAGGCGACGAUCUGUAGCGGGUCUGAGAGGAUGAUCCGCCACACUGGGACUGAGACACGGCCCAGACUCCUACGGGAGGCAGCAGUGGGGAAUAUUGGACAAUGGGGGGAACCCUGAUCCAGCCAUGCCGCGUGUGUGAAGAAGGCCUUAUGGUUGUAAAGCACUUUAAGCGAGGAGGAGGCUACUUUAGUUAAUACCUAGAGAUAGUGGACGUUACUCGCAGAAUAAGCACCGGCUAACUCUGUGCCAGCAGCCGCGGUAAUACAGAGGGUGCGAGCGUUAAUC
rnacentral:rRNA from 1 species